AAAAAAGGUAAGCUAUUAAGAGCGAAUGGUGGAUGCCUUGACUGGUAAAGGCGAUGAAGGACGUACUAGACUGCGAUAAGCUACGGGGAGCUGUCAAGAAGCUUUGAUCCGUAGAUUUCCGAAUGGGGCAACCCAAUGUAUAGAGAUAUACAUUACCUAUAAUAGGAGCGAACGAGGGGAAUUGAAACAUCUUAGUACCCUUAGGAAAAGAAAUCAAUAGAGAUUACGUAAGUAGCGGCGAGCGAAAGCGUAAGAGGGCAAACCCAGUGCUUGCACUGGGGGUUGUAGGACUGCAAUGUGCAAGAGGUGCGUUUAGCACAAUAUUCUGGAAAGUAUAGCCAUAGAGGGUGAUAGUCCCGUAGGCGAAAAACAAACCUUAGCUAGCAGUAUCCUGAGUAGGGCGGGACACGAGAAAUCCUGUCUGAAGCUGGGUCGACCACGAUCCAACCCUAAAUACUAAUACCAGAUCGAUAGUGUACAAGUACCGUGAGGGAAAGGUGAAAAGAACUGAGGUGAUCAGAGUGAAAUAGAACCUAAAACCAUUUGCUUACAAUCAUUCAGAGCACUAUGUAGCAAUACAGUGUGAUGGACUGCCUUUUGCAUAAUGAGCCUGCGAGUUGUGGUGUCUGGCAAGGUUAAGCAAACGCGAAGCCGUAGCGAAAGCGAGUCUUAAUAGGGCAUUAAGUCAGAUGCUGCAGACCCGAAACGAAGUGAUCUAUCCAUGAGCAAGUUGAAGCUAGUGUAAGAACUAGUGGAGGACUGAACCCAUAGGCGUUGAAAAGCCCCGGGAUGACUUGUGGAUAGGGGUGAAAGGCCAAUCAAACUUCGUGAUAGCUGGUUCUCUCCGAAAUAUAUUUAGGUAUAGCGUUGUGUCGUAAUAUAAGGGGGUAGAGCACUGAAUGGGCUAGGGCAUACACCAAUGUACCAAACCCUAUCAAACUCCGAAUACCUUAUAUGUAAUCACAGCAGUCAGGCGGCGAGUGAUAAAAUCCGUCGUCAAGAGGGAAACAACCCAGACUACCAGCUAAGGUCCCCAAAUCUUACUUAAGUGGAAAACGAUGUGAAUUUACUUAAACAACCAGGAGGUUGGCUUAGAAGCAGCCAUCCUUUAAAGAAAGCGUAAUAGCUCACUGGUCUAGUGAAUUCGCGCGGAAAAUAUAACGGGGCUAAAGUAAGUACCGAAGCUGUAGACUUGACUUUGUCAAGUGGUAGGAGAGCGUUCUAUUAGCGUCGAAGGUAUACCGUAAGGAGUGCUGGAGUUAAUAGAAGUGAGCAUGCAGGCAUGAGUAGCGAUAAUUAAUGUGAGAAUCAUUAACGCCGUAAACCCAAGGUUUCCUACGCGAUGCUCGUCAUCGUAGGGUUAGUCGGGUCCUAAGUCGAGUCCGAAAGGGGUAGACGAUGGCAAAUUGGUUAAUAUUCCAAUACCAACAUUAGUGUGCGAUGGAAGGACGCUUAGGGCUAAGGGGGCUAGCGGAUGGAAGUGCUAGUCUAAGGAUGUAGGAGCUUAUACAGGCAAAUCCGUAUAAGAAUACUCUGAGAUCUUAAAGGCUUUUUGAAGUCUUCGGAUGGAUGGAAGAACCCCUGAUGCCGUCGAGCCAAGAAAAGUUUCUAAGUUUAGCUAAUGUUGCCCGUACCGUAAACCGACACAGGUGGGUGGGAUGAGUAUUCUAAGGCGCGUGGAAGAACUCUCUUUAAGGAACUCUGCAAAAUAGCACCGUAUCUUCGGUAUAAGGUGUGGUUCACUUCGUAUUAGGAUUUACUCCCAAAGCGAAGAAACUUACAACAAAGAGUCCCUCCCGACUGUUUACCAAAAACACAGCACUCUGCUAACUCGUAAGAGGAUGUAUAGGGUGUGACGCCUGCCCGGUGCUCGAAGGUUAAUUGAUGGGGUUAGCAUUAGCAAAGCUCUUGAUCGAAGCCCGAGUAAACGGCGGCCGUAACUAUAACGGUCCUAAGGUAGCGAAAUUCCUUGUCGGUUAAAUACCGACCUGCAUGAAUGGCGUAACGAGAUGGGAGCUGUCUCAAAGAGGGAUCCAGUGAAAUUGUAGUGGAGGUGAAAAUUCCUCCUACCCGCGGCAAGACGGAAAGACCCCGUGGACCUUUACUACAGCUUGACACUGCUACUUGGAUAAGAAUGUGCAGGAUAGGUGGGAGGCUUUGAAUAAUAAACGCCAGUUUAUUAGGAGCCAUUGUUGAGAUACCACUCUUUCUUAUUUGGGUAGCUAACCAGCUUGAGUUAUCCUCAAGUGGGACAAUGUCUGGUGGGUAGUUUGACUGGGGCGGUCGCCUCCCAAAAAAUAACGGAGGCUUACAAAGGUUGGCUCAGAACGGUUGGAAAUCGUUCGUAGAGUAUAAAGGUAUAAGCCAGCUUAACUGCAAGACACACAAGUCAAGCAGAGACGAAAGUCGGUCUUAGUGAUCCGGUGGUUCUGUGUGGAAGGGCCAUCGCUCAAAGGAUAAAAGGUACCCCGGGGAUAACAGGCUGAUCUCCCCCAAGAGCUCACAUCGACGGGGAGGUUUGGCACCUCGAUGUCGGCUCAUCGCAUCCUGGGGCUGGAGCAGGUCCCAAGGGUAUGGCUGUUCGCCAUUUAAAGCGGUACGCGAGCUGGGUUCAGAACGUCGUGAGACAGUUCGGUCCCUAUCUGCCGUGGGCGUAAGAAGAUUGAAGAGAUUUGACCCUAGUACGAGAGGACCGGGUUGAACAAACCACUGGUGUAGCUGUUGUUCUGCCAAGAGCAUCGCAGCGUAGCUAAGUUUGGAAAGGAUAAACGCUGAAAGCAUCUAAGCGUGAAGCCCACUCUAAGAUGAAUCUUCUCUAAGCUCUCAGCAAGACUAGCUGGUUGAUAGGCUGGGUGUGUAAUGGAUGAAAGUCCUUUAGCUGACCAGUACUAAUAGAGCGUUUGGCUUACUUUAUAUAAGCAU
rnacentral:rRNA from 1 species